rnacentral:rRNA from 1 species
UGCCAGCAGCCGCGGUAAUACGUAGGUGGCGAGCGUUGUCCGGAAUUACUGGGCGUAAAGGGUGCGUAGGCGGCUCCUUAAGUGAGGUGUGAAAUCCCUGGGCUCAACCCAGGAACUGCACUUCAAACUGGGGAGCUAGAGUGCAGGAGAGGAAAGCGGAAUUCCCGGUGUAGCGGUGAAAUGCGUAGAGAUCGGGAGGAACACCAGUGGCGAAGGCGGCUUUCUGGACUGUAACUGACGCUGAGGCACGAAAGCGUGGGGAGCAAACAGGAUUAGAUA